rnacentral:misc_RNA from 1 species
AUCAGAAAGUUGUAUAACAUCUGGUUUCCCUCUAAAAUAAUGAGCAAUAUCUUAAUAUAAGUAUUUACAUUUGAAAAUAUUUUGAAACUUAUUUGAUUCUUACUCAAUCCCCGCUAUACCUUCGACGACUAAAUUAUCACUAGUUAAAGUACCAGUUUUAUCAAAGCAACAUAUUUCAACUUUUCCAGCAAAUGGAAUUCUAAAAGGUUCAGUACAAAAUACACCUAUACAGAAAUUAUAUAUUAUUGUAUUAAAAAAUAUAGAACUAAAUAUCAUCUUCAUUCAUCUUCACUUUAUAAAUACCUAAUUUUGAUAAGGCCAAUAAUGAAGUAUUUACGGCUAAUGAUAACUCAAUAGGCAAUUCUGGAGGAACAACUGAUGUGAGAAUAAGUGUACAUUCCAAGAACAAUUUGUAUCUAUUUCUUGUAGGAUCUUCACUUCCUACAUAUGAUGCUGCAGCAAUCGCAAAAACUAGCAAAAAUAGGAUAAAACCAAACGUUUCCAAGUUGUUAGCAGUAACGCAUUUGACUCCAAAUAAUAUUGUCCUCAAAAGUUUUCCUUGCGACGUUGAAAAACCAGUACGUAAAACAUAGGCCACACAGCCAUUAUCAGUAGCUAAAAUUUUUAAUAUAUAUGUAAAAUACAAAAUAUAUAUGAUAUUAAAAUAUAGUAAUUUAUUAUUUACUGUUUAGAUACCUUUAAGGCCAGAUACACUUUUACUUGGUGGAGUAUGUUGUACAACUUUCGUGCCCCCAAAAAGUAUGUGAAGCUUAUCAGUUUCUAUAUCCAGCUGUCUAUUUCCAUCAAUUUCUUCUAUGGGCUCUUUCAUUUGAGGAACUGAUUCCCCUAUUUAUUCAUAAUUAACGAAUGUAAAAUAUAUAAGACACUAACCAUAAAUUAAUAUUUUUCCUAAGGAGAAAGUUGAGGCUUUCACAGCCUUUUUAAAAAAGAAAUUCCUUAUGGACACAGCUUCUAUUCAAAAGACUCAAACAGUGUUAAGAGUGAUUCUUCCUAAUGACUUACCUGUUAACAUACUUUCAUCAACAACACAAGGUCCUCUUAAAAGUAACAUAUCACAUGGCACUAGAUUAUCAUUUUGAGAUCUUGUUAUGGAUACAAUAUCACCAGGAACUAGUUGGUCAGUAAACAUGGAAUGCCACCGUCUGUUCCUAUAGACCUUUGAUGAAAGCAAUUUUAUUGGAAAUAUUUGGAACAUAUUUUAUUUACUUAUGAUGUUUACUAACCAUUAUAGUAUAUGGCUUAUUUCCCAUUUUCCUAAUUUCAGCCAUAUUUCGAAGUUGUUGUUGCACAAGUGUGCACUCAAACAUAAUAAGCAUAACUAAUGUAAAGAUACUAUAAUACCAAUAUUUAUCGAAACACCAUAAUGCUACACAAAAUAAUUGAAAAACAAAGAAUGGUGCAAUUGCUCUUUCUUUAAAUAGUUCUCUAAAUUCUGGUACCACCAUAUCCAGCCUAUAUGAAAGUAAUGAAAAAGGUACAUAAAGCAAUUUAUGUAAUUCUCCAACAAUACAUAUAAAAAGAUAUAUUUACUUAUUCUUCCCAUAUUUUUCUUCUGCUGCUGCAACAUCUUU